CUCAGCAGCUGUUUUCACAAUUGAAAUGCGGCCCUGCAGGACCAGUGAGACGCAGCAGAGUGUGUGAAGCCAUUAAGGCUGACUAGACUCUGAGGAUGCAUUAUUAAAAAGGCAGAUGUUACUCCUGCCCUUAGAGAACAUACAACACGCUAAUGACAAGCACAGCAAAAGAAGAAAACUCUUUCAUGUGAGCAAUUUGGCCCAAGUUCCUGAUAGUUCCGUGCCAGUGAUAUCAUACUGCCUUGAGGCCACACAGACAUAAAGCCUGGUUAUUUUUUAAAUGUUGUGAAGCUGAAUGGCAUCAGAUGUGGUAGAAAGUACACAUUCUUCCCAGUCAGAGGUCUUGGGUACAGUUUCCUACACUGACACUGAAUAUUAAUAAUUUUGUGACUAUGUGAGCUUAGAACGUUAUUUAAUCUUUCUGAGGUUCUGUUUUCCCAUCUAUAAAAUGGGGAUAAGCAAUUUUCCUUAAAAGGCUAUUGCCAAGAUUAAACUAUUUUGAAUAUGUCAAGUUCCUGAUGUAUAAUAGGCACUAAAUAAUUGCCUGGAUAAUAAUUAUCAGUUCUUAUUCCCUGGAUUCAAU